rnacentral:rRNA from 1 species
UACGUAGGCAGCGAGCGUUGUUCGGAAUUACUGGGCGUAAAGGGUGCGUAGGUGGCUUGGUAAGUUUGAUGUGAAAUCUCCGGGCUUAACCCGGAAAUGGCAUUGAAUACUAUUGAGCUGGAGGUUUGGAGGGGGGGACUGGAAUUCUCGGUGUAGCAGUGAAAUGCGUAGAUAUCGAGAGGAACACCAGUGGCGAAGGCGAGUCCCUGGACAACACCUGACACUGAGGCACGAAGGCCAGGGGAGCGAACGGG